rnacentral:rRNA from 1 species
UCCGGGCUUCGGUCCGGUGAGAGUGGCGGACGGGUGAGUAACGCGUGGGAACCUGCCCAGUGGUGGGGGAUAACUGCGGGAAACUGCAGCUAAUACCGCAUGAGCCCGAAAGGGGAAAGAUUUAUCGCCAUUGGAGGGGCCCGCGUUCGAUUAGGUAGUUGGUGAGGUAACGGCUCACCAAGCCGACGAUCGAUAGCUGGUCUGAGAGGAUGAUCAGCCACACUGGGACUGAGAUACGGCCCAGACUCCUACGGGAGGCAGCAGUGGGGAAUAUUGGACAAUGGGGGCAACCCUGAUCCAGCAAUGCCGCGUGAGUGAUGAAGGCCUUCGGG